GGGUGGUUGCCGGAGAUGGAAACGGCUCUCGCUGCAAACGAGGUGCUCACUGGUUCGAAUCCAGUACCACCCUCCA
rnacentral:tRNA from 1 species